UACGUAGGGGGCAAGCGUUGUCCGGAUUUAUUGGGCGUAAAGAGCGUGUAGGCGGCCAGGUAGGUCUGCUGUGAAAACUCGAGGCUCAACCUCGAGAUGUCGGCGGAAACCAUCUGGCUAGAGUCCGGAAGAGGAGAAUGGAAUUCCCGGUGUAGCGGUGAAAUGCGCAGAUAUCGGGAAGAACACCCGUGGCGAAGGCGGGUCUCUGGACAGUUCCUGACGCUGAGGCACGAAAGCGUGGGGAGCAAACAGG
rnacentral:rRNA from 1 species